CCGGAGCCGCCAGUCAAUGUGACACGUGAUGCUGCUGCUGGUUUAUAAAGGAGGAGGAAAAGGGGCAACACAGUUCAGAUGAGGUAAAUAUACAGACAAGAUGAGGUUUCUAGCAUCCCUUCUUGUUGUCUUUGCUGUGGCAGUGCUUCACACUGUUCUCUCAGCAUCCCUGGAAUGUGCAGAGAAAGGGGAAAAGGUGACUCCGUAUGAUGGGCUGACUGAACUGAAGAAAAUAGAUCAGCUGGAGUUUGAGGCUGCCCAAAGAGCCAAGGCAGCUGAGCUCAAUGUAACGGAGGAGCAAAAUGAGGACUCUCGCUAUCUUGAAGCUGCUCAGGGUGAAGCUGCUGAGGAGCAUGGUGAUGCUGAGAAUGAACGGAAAGAGCAAACAGGAAACUCUGAAGCUGCAGAUGCAGCACACGAUGAAUCAGUGUCUGAGUCCUCUGAGGACUCUGAUGGGAGACAAAGAAGAGGUGAGAAUUUUCUCAUUCAUAUCGUUAUAAAACUACAAUUUUGCACAAGGCUGAUCAAAUCUAAAUGUAUUUAUAGAGCAUGAAGAGACAGUGACAGAGACUGUGAGGAGUUUGGAUGAAAGUCACAGUUCAUCACAAGAACAAGAUGACUGAAAACCCACUGCAGCAUGAGGAAACCAGCACUAACUCAUCCCUCCCCCAUGUCAGAGCUACAUCAAGCUUCUCACCAAUAAAAGGGAAACUCCCACCUGUCUGAA